CCUACGGGGGGCAGCAGUGGGGAAUAUUGGGCAAUGGGCGCAAGCCUGACCCAGCAACGCCGCGUGAAGGAAGAAGGCUUUCGGGUUGUAAACUUCUUUUCUGAGGGACGAAGAAAGUGACGGUACCUCUGGAAUAAGCCACGGCUAACUACGGCCCAGCAGCCGCGGUAAGACGAGGGUGGCAAGCGUUUUCCGGAUUUAUUGGGUGUAAAGGGCGGGUAGGCGGGAAAGCAAGUCAGAUGUGAAAACUCGGGGCUCAACCCUGGGCCUGCAUUUGAAACUGUUUGUCUUGAGUGCUGGAGAGGCAAGCGGAAUUCCGUGUGUAGCGGUGAAAUGCGUAGAUAUAAGGAGGAACACCAGUGGCGAAGGCGGAUUGCUGGACAGUAACUGACGCUGAGGCGCGAAAGCGUGGGGAGCAAACAGGAUUAGAUACCCUAGUAGUC
rnacentral:rRNA from 1 species